ensembl:snRNA U1 U1 spliceosomal RNA
AUACUUACCUGGCAGGGGAGAUACCAUGAUCAAGAAGGUGGUUCACCCAGGGCGAGGCUCAGCCAUUGCACUCCAGGUUGUGCUGACCCCUGCGAAUUCCCCAAAUGUGGGAAUCUCGACUGCAUAAUUUCUGGUAGUGGGGGACUGCGUUCGCACUCUGUCCAG